rnacentral:rRNA from 1 species
AACGAACGCUGGCGGCAUGCCUAACACAUGCAAGUCGAACGGGAUCCUAGCUUGCUAGGUGAGAGUGGCGGACGGGUGAGUAACACGUGGGAAUCUGCCUUCUGGUUCGGGAUAACCGCGGGAAACUGCGGCUAAUACCGAAUGCCCUCGCGAGAGGAAAGAUUUAUCGCCAGAAGAGGAGCCCGCGUCCGAUUAGGUAGUUGGUGGGGUAAAGGCCUACCAAGCCGACGAUCGGUAGCUGGUCUGAGAGGAUGAUCAGCCACACUGGGACUGAGAUACGGCCAGACUCCUACGGGAGCAGCAGUGGGGAAUAUUGGACAAUGGGGGACACCCUGAUCCAGCAAUGCCGCGUGAGUGAUG